rnacentral:misc_RNA from 1 species
GUGUACGCCCUAGUUCCGGUCGUUCUCUCUUGCGUCGGUCUGAUUGCGACUUGCAUCGUCAUCGUCACGUUUCUGCAACAUAACGACACCCCGGUUGUCAUGGCAUCAGGACGCGAGCUUAGUUACAUGUUGCUAGGGGGUUGCGUGCUUUGUUAUUUGGUGACCUUCGUCCUGAUAGCUCGCCCUUCCACAAUUACCUGCGCUAUCCAGAGAGCUGGGAUAGGGUUGGGCUUUUCAGUCAUUUACUCUUCACUUCUCACAAAGACUAACCGAAUAUCUCGCAUAUUCGACAGUGCUAGAAGGUCGGCCAGACGACCUCCAUUCAUUAGUCCAAAGUCCCAGAUUGUGAUCACCUUAGUACUCAUAUCAAUACAGGUGCUAUUCAGCAUUGUAUGGCUGGUCUUAGAGCGACCAGGGACUAGACUGUAUACCCCAAAAAACAAACGCAAUGAAGUGAUGCUAAAAUGUAAGACAGACGAUAUCUCGUUCCUGGUUUCCUUGUUGUACAACAUCAUUCUGAUCAUCGUGUGUACUCUUUAUGCCAUCAAGACGAGGAAGAUCCCGGAGAACUUCAACGAGUCCAAGUUCAUUGGCUUCGCCAUGUAUACCACCUGCAUCAUUUGGCUGGCCUUCGUGCCUAUUUACUUUGGGACUUUAAACUCCUUCGAGGUACAAAUCACCACCCUAUGUAUUUCCAUUAGCCUGAGCGCCACCGUGGCGCUUGUAUGCCUCUUCACACCAAAAAUGUACAUCAUCGUCUUCCAGCCGGAGAAAAACGUCAGGCGUCUCACCAUGAACUCAGCCAGCUACAAAAAGCCUGUCACCAAUACCUCCUCUGUGUUGGGAGCCAACAAUCAUGAUAGUUACACUGACGAAAGAAUCAAGCUGAAUGUGAAUUACGAUGAAAGACAUGGCGUUAGAACUGUUCCGGUUCCGGUUUCAAAAACAAAUGGCGACCAAGACAGUUUACAUUCCCUCUGAUAUAGCUGUGUUCAAUUCGGUUUUUUGUUAUGUGUUAUCACUUGUCGAUAGUAAAAAAUAUGACAUAGAUACAUUUAGAUCUAUACAUGUACCGUUUUCUUUAUGACAGCGUUUAGUUCUAAAAAUGUUUUUGAUAUCAACAUGCAUAUGUGAUCAUCUUGAAAUCUUUUAUUUUUUUUUUAAUUUCAUUUGCUUAAGAUUUAUUCAAUAAGUUACAAUCAAUUACAGAUGGAGGCAACAGUUGUUAUUCGGUUAAGAUUUGUUUUUUAAAAGAUAUCCGUUUAAUAAACAAUAUACAUGUACCAUGCAGCUACCCCUGCGUGAUUAUGCCAUAAAUGAUUGUGUACUGCAAGAAAUUAAUGUACACACGUAAAUAUAUGUAUUUGUACCUGAUAAUUACCUGCAGUAGUUCGAAUUAUUUUUUUGAUUUCCUACAUAAAUAAAAAAAAACUCUGACUUUUUGUGUAAGAUUAUUAAGACAAUGUUUAGAUACGAUUAAUGCAUGUAAAAUCACGAAUUAAGCAAUUGUCUUUUCUAUCUUACAUGCAUUUGGACUUUUAUAUGAUUUAUAGUAAUUCGAUAAAAUAGAUUUUAUUACAGUAACUAUCAAUAAAAAUGUAUGAAAAAAGUUCUGAGGAAAAAUAAGGCUUGUGAAAUUUAGGCCUUUCUAUCCGUUGUGUAUACUUUAUGUUGCCUCUCGCCUUGUAAAAUUCAGUAUAAAUUGUAACAUACGCCAGCCCCUAUCAUGGAUGUCGUUAAUUCUUCGUUGUAAAGUUGAAAAAUGGUUCUUCAAGAAAAAAUUAAUCAUUUGAAUGUUGAAAUUGAAAAUUUUGAUAGAGUUUCCUUUUUACACUAAUUGUAUGCGUUAACUUACAGAUCUUGAGAAAGCUUUUUGUUUUUUGUACUGAAAAGCGAUUUGAUGUAGUAUGUAUACUUCAUAUUCAUGUGAUACACAUUUCAUAUUAUGACGUCAUAAGUGUCAUGGUGUAAUACUCAAGACAUGUUACAUGUAUUUAUAAACCAUGCCAUCACGCUUUAUAUAUUUUGUAUGUAAAUGACACUUAUAUCUAGACAAAAAUAAAAAAGUAA